ACAGUGACUUUACUUGGCAGGAUCACGAGGAAAGGAAUUGAAAACUAAGUUGGGGGGGUUGCAAGGAGGACCGGAGGAUGGGAGGGACCUUGCUUUUUAGAUGCUCUGCUAGGACCAGAUAGAGCAAAGGGCUCAGGAGCGGCAAGCCUAAGCCUUUUCCCCUGUCUUCCUCCUCCACUCUGUACAAUGGAUUGGAUAGGAGCCAGUUAGACCCUCGGCUCCAGAUGAACAUCAACAAGCAAAGCUGGCAGUGGCCAUGAAGAGUCUGGGCGAUCUAGAGGAAAACACAAAGUCUUUAGAGUUCUGCGGGCUUGAUACAAAGUUUGACUCUGCCACGUGAUCUUGUGCAACCUUAGCAACCUUUCAGAGCCGAGUACCCUCUUUCACAAAAGGAGGCCAGCAAGACCCAUCUGUCUGGAUACUGUUAAGACUCAGCCACAAGGCCAGGAAUAAUGCCUCAAUGCCCGCCACUCUAGCUCCAGGGAAGGCUGAGACAGAAUGGCCUGGGCUACCAGUGAAUUCAAGGUCCACCAGGGCUGACCCCCUUCUCAAUAAACCAACAAAUCAAGACUCGGUCAUAGUGCCUGACGCUAUGUGUAUUGUGCA